AGCAAUUGGAAGAAAGAAAGAUCAAGAACAACUAGCUCAACAUCUUUCAUUCAUCAAUGAAGCGUGUCCUCUUUGUGCUGGGUCUAUUGGCGUUGCUGGUUUCAAUACAGCUACAUGCUGUCCAUGGGCGAGCCCUUCGUUCAACCAAGACGGGGGGAAAUGUGGUUGUUCCGGUAAGGCAAGGAGAAGGGGGAGCUGAUGAUAAGGCGUUGCCGGUGGGUGUUCCUUCGUCCAAGCGAAUGGCUUUUAGAUUAGCCUCGGGACCAAGCAGGAAAGGUCCUGGACAUUAAUCUUAAUGCAUAUUAUCGGGGACUCGUUUUUUCUUUCCCCCAGGUGGAAGCCUUCCACUUGAUGCACAGAUUAGUAAACUACAGCUCUUGUUUUCCUCUUUAAGCUCCGUCAGGGUCAACAGAAGAUUUGUUUUCCCAUUCGUUUAAGAAAAUAAGUUUUUUAUUGUAUUUGUAAUUUGACAGUAUAGGUAGUGACUAGUGAUACACUUUUGAUCAGAAUUAGGAUAAUCUGUAUACUUUUUUAUAGUGAAAAGAUGGAAACUAUAUUCUUUUUG